CAACCUUGCGGCCGUACUCCCCAGGCGGUCAACUUCACGCGUUAGCUUCGUUACUGAGUCAGUGAAGACCCAACAACCAGUUGACAUCGUUUAGGGCGUGGACUACCAGGGUAUCUAAUCCUGUUUGCUCCCCACGCUUUCGUGCAUGAGCGUCAGUACAGGUCCAGGGGAUUGCCUUCGCCAUCGGUGUUCCUCCGCAUAUCUACGCAUUUCACUGCUACACGCGGAAUUCCAUCCCCCUCUACCGUACUCUAGCUAUACAGUCACAAAUGCAGUUCCCAGGUUGAGCCCGGGGAUUUCACAUCUGUCUUAUAUAACCGCCUGCGCACGCUUUACGCCCAGUAAUUCCGAUUAACGCUUGCACCCUAC
rnacentral:rRNA from 1 species